rnacentral:rRNA from 1 species
GAAACGGUGGCUAAUACCGCAUAACGUCGCAAGACCAAAGAGGGGGACCUUCGGGCCUCUCACUAUCGGAUGAACCCAGAUGGGAUUAGCUAGUAGGCGGGGUAACGGCCCACCUAGGCGACGAUCCCUAGCUGGUCUGAGAGGAUGACCAGCCACACUGGAACUGAGACACGGUCCAGACUCCUACGGGAGGCAGCAGUGGGGAAUAUUGCACAAUGGGCGCAAGCCUGAUGCAGCCAUGCCGCGUGUAUGAAGAAGGCCUUCGGGUUGUAAAGUACUUUCAGCGGGGAGGAAGGCGAUGUGGUUAAUAACCGCAUUGAUGACGUACCCGCAGA